rnacentral:rRNA from 1 species
UCUAGCUUUAGGUCUGGGACAACCACUGGAAACGGUGGCUAAUACCGGAUGUGCCGAGAGGUGAAAGGUUAACUGCCUGAAGAUGAGCUCGCGUCUGAUUAGCUAGUUGGUAGAGUAAAAGCCUACCAAGGCGACGAUCAGUAGCUGGUCUGAGAGGACGAUCAGCCACACUGGGACUGAGACACGGCCCAGACUCCUACGGGAGGCAGCAGUGGGGAAUUUUCCGCAAUGGGCGAAAGCCUGACGGAGCAAUACCGCGUGAGGGAGGAAGGCUCUUGGGUCGUAAACCUCUUUUCUUAGGGAAGAACAAAAUGACGGUACCUAAGGAAUAAGCAUCGGCUAACUCCGUGCCAGCAGCCGCGGUAAUACGGAGGAUGCAAGCGUUAUCCGGAAUGAUUGGGCGUAAAGCGUCCGCAGGUGGCGAUGAAAGUCUGCUGUUAAAGAGUCUAGCUCAACUAGAUAAAAGCAGUGGAAACUACAUAGCUAGAGUACGUUCGGGGCAGAGGGAAUUCCUGGUGUAGCGGUGAAAUGCGUAGAGAUCAGGAAGAACACCAGUGGCGAAGGCGCUCUGCUAGGCCGUAACUGACACUGAGGGACGAAAGC